rnacentral:rRNA from 1 species
AGAGUUUGAUCCUGGCUCAGAUUGAACGCUGGCGGCAUGGUUAAGACAUGCAAGUUGAGCGCGAAAGCCCCUUCGGGGGUGAGUAGAGCGGCGCAAGGGCGAGGAAUACGUUCCUACGUACCCCGAGGUCAGGGAUAGCCCAGGGAAACCUGGAUUAAUACCUGAUGUGGUCCUUCGGGAUCAAAGGCUUGCUGCCUCGGGAGCGGGGAACGCCCUAUCAGGUUGUUGGUGAGGUAACGGCUCACCAAGCCGAAGACGGGUAGCGGGUGUGAGAGCAUGACCCGCCGCAUCGGGACUGAGACACUGCCCGGACUCCUACGGGAGGCUGCAGUAACGAAUCUUCCGCAAUGCGCGAAAGCGUGACGGAGCAAUGCCGCGUGCAGGAUGAAGCCCUUCGGGGUGUAAACUGCUGUCAGGGUUUAGGAACACAAUGACCAGACCCAAAGGAAGGGCCGGCUAACUUCGUGCCAGCAGCCGCGGUAAUACGAAGGGCCCGAGCGUUACUCGGAAUCAUUGGGCUUAAAGCGUACGUAGGCGGGCGCGCAGGCACCUUGUGAAAUCCCUCGGCUCAACCGAGGAAUUGCUUGGUGAACCGCGUGCCUUGAGACAAGUAGGGGCUGUCGGAACGAUAGGUGGAGCGGUGAAAUGC